AUGGAUGCCACUUGCAAUAUCUGUGGUAAUGGAGUUGAAGAUGAACACCAUGCGGUUGUUAUGUGCACCAAGAGUAAAGCUCUGCAUGCUGCAAUGAGAGAAGUUUGGUGUCUCCCAAGGGAGGACAAACUUUGGUAUACAGGGGAUGAUUGGCUUCAACUGGCAUUGGGGACGGAAAACGAGGAGAUGCGCGCCAAACUUCUGCUCUUACUUUGGCGAUGCUGGCAUCUAAGAGAGGAUUGCCUUCGGAAUAACGGGAGAGAAACUAUCACAAACUCUGUGAUGUUUCUGAAGAAGUACGAGGAGGACUUGAGAAACGCUGCAAUACCUGAGUAUGGAGCGGAGGGUGUCAGCAUCUCUAGACAGGGGAGUAGGAAAAGUGCGAAUGGUCUCGCGCCCCUGGAUGAAAAAUGGACGCCGCCAGCUUGUGGUGUGGCCAAAAUUAACACAGACGCUGCUUACCUAGCGGAAACUGGAGAAAGUGCGGCGGGUGUGGUGGCUCGCGAUCACAGAGGUUUUGUCUUCCUCUCGGCCUGCAAGAAACUACCAGUUUGCAGUAGCGUAGAGGAGGCAGAGGCCUGCGCGGCUCUCAUGGGCCUCCAGACUAUGGCUAAGUACUAUAAUGGUGAGGUGAUGCUUGAGUUGGACAACCAAAACAUUAUGACAGAGUUGGCCUCUAGGCACACUUCCAGAUCCACCUGCUACGGGCUCAUCAUGGACAUUAAACAUGCUAUGGCGGGGUUUGCUGCGUGUAGUGUGCGGUGUGUGAACCGGAAGAAGAAUGCAUUGGCGCACGACUUAGCUGCACUGAACAGGAGCAAAGGUGAUCAACUGGUGAUCGCGGAUGUCCCUCCGAGUCUUUGA
rnacentral:rRNA from 1 species